ACUCCUACGGGAGGCAGCAGUGGGGAAUAUUGCACAAUGGGCGCAAGCCUGAUGCAGCCAUGCCGCGUGUGUGAAGAAGGCCUUCGGGUUGUAAAGCACUUUCAGUCGUGAGGAAGGUAGUGUAGUUAAUAGCUGCAUUAUUUGACGUUAGCGACAGAAGAAGCACCGGCUAACUCCGUGCCAGCAGCCGCGGUAAUACGGAGGGUGCGAGCGUUAAUCGGAAUUACUGGGCGUAAAGCGCAUGCAGGUGGUUUGUUAAGUCAGAUGUGAAAGCCCGGGGCUCAACCUCGGAAUUGCAUUUGAAACUGGCAGACUAGAGUACUGUAGAGGGGGGUAGAAUUUCAGGUGUAGCGGUGAAAUGCGUAGAGAUCUGAAGGAAUACCGGUGGCGAAGGCGGCCCCCUGGACAGAUACUGACACUCAGAUGCGAAAGCGUGGGGGAGCAAACAGGAUUAGAUA
rnacentral:rRNA from 1 species